CGGGUCCUUCGNGAUGCCGGCGAGCGGCGNACGGGUGAGUAAUGCCUAGGAAUCUGCCUGGUAGUGGGGGAUAACUCGGGGAAACUCGAGCUAAUACCGCAUACGUCCUACGGGAGAAAGCGGGGGAUCUUCGGACCUCGCGCUACCAGAUGAGCCUAGGUCGGAUUAGCUAGUUGGUGAGGUAAAGGCUCACCAAGGCGACGAUCCGUAGCUGGUCUGAGAGGAUGAUCAGCCACACUGGAACUGAGACACGGUCCAGACUCCUACGGGAGGCAGCAGUGGGGAAUAUUGGACAAUGGGCGAAAGCCUGAUCCAGCCAUGCCGCGUGUGUGAAGAAGGUCUUCGGAUUGUAAAGCACUUUAAGUUGGGAGGAAGGGCAGUAAGUUAAUACCUUGCUGUUUUGACGUUACCGACAGAAUAAGCACCGGCUAACUUCGUGCCAGCAGCCGCGGUAAUACGAAGGGU
rnacentral:rRNA from 1 species